UGCAGUCGACGGGCUCUUCGGAGCAAGUGGCGGACGGGUGAGUAACGCGUGAGAAUGUGCCUUCAGGAUGGGGAUAACAAUAGGAAACUAAUGCUAAGACCCAAUGUGCCUUAAGAGGUGAAAAAUGAAAAUUGCCUGAAGAGGAGCUCGCGUCUGAUUAGCUAGUUGGGGUGGUAAAAGCGCACCAAGGCAACGAUCAGUAGCUGGUCUGAGAGGAUGAGCAGCCACACUGGGACUGAGACACGGCCCAGACUCCUACGGGAGGCAGCAGUGGGGAAUUUUCCGCAAUGGGCGAAAGCCUGACGGAGCAAUACCGCGUGAGGGAGGAAGGCUCUUGGGUUGUAAACCUCAAAACUUAGGGAAGAAAAAAAUGACGGUACCUAAUCUAAGCAUCGGCUAACUCCGUGCCAGCAGCCGCGGUAAUACG
rnacentral:rRNA from 1 species